GAGGCCAUAACUUAAUUGGUAGAGUGUACUGCUCAUAACAGUAAUUAUAAGUGUUCGACUCACUUUGGCCUUA
rfam:Sporothrix insectorum RCEF 264 scaffold_37, whole genome shotgun sequence.